CUCCAAUAGCGUAUAUUAAAGUUGUUGCAGUUAAAAAGCUCGUAGUUGGAUUUCUGGCAGGAGCGUCCGGUCUCACACUCAGUGCGGGAACUUGGAUGUCUCUGGCCAUCUUUGGGGAUAUCCUGUUUGGCAUUAAGUUGUCGGGCAGGGGAUACCAUCGUUUACUGUGAAAAAAUUAGAGUGUUUAAAGCAGGCUUAUG
rnacentral:rRNA from 1 species